rnacentral:rRNA from 1 species
UCGGGCAUAGUGGCGCACGGGUGCGUAACGCGUGGGAAUCUGCCCUUGGGUUCGGAAUAACAGUGAGAAAUUGCUGCUAAUACCGGAUGAUGUCUUCGGACCAAAGAUUUAUCGCCCAGGGAUGAGCCCGCGUAGGAUUAGCUAGUUGGUGGGGUAAUGGCCUACCAAGGCGACGAUCCUUAGCUGGUCUGAGAGGAUGAUCAGCCACACUGGGACUGAGACACGGCCCAGACUCC